GACCGUAGUUCAAUCGGUUAGAGCACCGCCCUGUCACGGCGGAAGUUGCGGGUUCGAAUCCCGUCGGUCC
rnacentral:tRNA from 1 species